UGCUUAGAAGUGCCAAAGAUGCAACAUUUAUUUAUUUAAAUUUGGAAAUUUUUAUUUCAUUAAUUAAUUUAGAAUAUUUUUCAAUGGUUACAAGAUUCAUGUUCUUUCCCUCCCCUCCCCCAACCCUCUCCCAUAGCCAACAGGCAAUUACACCAGGUUUUACAAGUGUCAUUGAUCAAGAUCUAUUUCCAUAUUAUUGAUAAUUGCACUAGGGUGAUCAUUUAGAGUCUACAUUCCCAGUCAUAUCCCCACAUCAACCCAUGUGAUCAAGCAAUUGUUAUUCUUCUGUGUUUCUACUCCCACAGUACUUCCUCCGAAUGUGAAUAAUGUUCUUUCUCAUCAGUCCUUCAGCAUUGUCUUGCAUCAUUGCAAAGAUGCAGCAUUUAAAGAAGGGAUGCCAUAGGUUAAUUCAUUGACUAAGUGACAAAACAUUUAAUGACAUGCUAUGAUUGGUCAGUACAGUAACCACAUACAACGACCCAUCCCUCAAGAAUGGCAAGGCACAUAAGAGGGUAAAACACAGGUGAAUGUAACAUGAAGAAUAAAACCUGUGCAGAGAACUUAGGACACUGGGGAGAGGGAAAGAGAAGAAAGAGAAGAAGAAAAGAGAGGAAGAGAAAAAGAGUGGCAAGGGGAGAAAAUCAUGAGAAGAUCAUUUCACAGAUAAAGCAACUGGGACAAGCAGUGACUUGCACAAAGUCACAAAGCUAGCAAGUGACCAAAGCAAGAUUUGAACUCAGGAAAAUGAGUCUUCUUUACUUCAGUUAUGGUAUGCUAUCCACUACACCACCUGAGCUACCCAUGAGACUCGGACCCACUUCCUGUUUGUCCCCGACUCCUUCUCUUGCUUUGUUUCUUUCUCGGGGUACUGCUGACCAAACUAUGACCCUAUGAGAGGGACAUUUCCAAGUUUAGAGCUCCUGAUUCAAUGAAAACUUCCCAAUGGGAGGUAUGUUUAUAAUGACAUUAUUUCUCAAAGGAGAAGAUUCAAUGCCAGGAAAAAUGACAUAGAAGAUGCUGCAGUUGAAAAGCGUAAGAAAACCCAGGCCAUGCCUUAGAUGGCUGAGGGGUCCAGACAAGUGAUUUGAGAGGAAAAUGAAAUAUCUGCUAUGUAGUCCUACAAAAAAUAUUUUCUGUUCCAGAAAGAAUGGUGCAUCCAUACAUUCGAAUA
rnacentral:lncRNA from 1 species